rnacentral:rRNA from 1 species
CUGCUGGUAAAGGUCAUUACGUAUUACUUUACUUACCGGAGGAAAAGAAACCAACAGGGAUUGCCUCAGUAACGGCGAGUGAAGCGGCAACAGUUCAAAUUUGAAAUCUGGCCCCAGGCCCGAGUUGUAAUUUGAAGAGGAUGUUUCUGGCGAGGUGCCUUCCGAGUGCCCUGGAACGGGACGCCAUAGAGGGUGAGAGCCCCGUACGGUUGGUCGCUAAGCCUCUGUGAAACUCCUUCGACGAGUCGAGUAGUUUGGGAAUGCUGCUCUAAAUGGGAGGUAUACGUCUUCUAAAGCUAAAUACCGGCCAGAGACCGAUAGCGCACAAGUAGAGUGAUCGAAAGAUGAAAAGCACUUUGAAAAGAGGGUUAAAUAGUACGUGAAAUUGUUGAAAGGGAAGCGCUCAUGACCAGACUUGGGCCGGUUGAUCAUCCGCCGUUCUCGGCGGUGCACUCUGCCGGCUCAGGCCAGCAUCAGUUUGGUCCGGGGGAUAAAGGCGUAGGGAAUGUGGCUCCCCCCGGGGAGUGUUAUAGCCCUGCGCGUAAUACCCUGGGCUGGACUGAGGUUCGCGCAUCUGCAAGGAUGCUGGCGUAAUGGUUAUCAGUGACCCGUCUUGAAACACGGACCAAGGAGUCGUCUUCGUAUGCGAGUGUUCGGGUGUCAAACCCCUACGCGUAAUGAAAGUGAACGUAGGAGAGAGCUUCGGCGCAUCUCCGACCGAUCCUGAUGUUCUCGGAUGGAUUUGAGUAAGAGCAUACGGGGCCGGACCCGAAAGAAGGUGAACUAUGCCUGUAUAGGGUGAAGCCAGAGGAAACUCUGGUGGAGGCUCGCAGCGGUUCUGACGUGCAAAUCGAUCGUCAAAUAUGGGCAUGGGGGCGAAAGACUAAUCGAACCUUCUAGUAGCUGGUUUCCGCCGAAGUUUCCCUCAGGAUAGCAGUGUUGAACUCAGUUUUAUGAGGUAAAGCGAAUGAUUAGGGACUCGGGGG